AUCCAGCUGAGGAGUCAUAAAUGGGACGAAACACGCGUCCUGGGU
rnacentral:hammerhead_ribozyme from 1 species